AUUGAACGCUGGCGGCAGGCCUAACACAUGCAAGUCGAACGAGUGGCGGACGGGUGAGUAAUGUCUGGGAAACUGCCUGAUGGAGGGGGAUAACUACUGGAAACGGUAGCUAAUACCGCAUACCAUCAGAUGUGCCCAGAUGGGAUUAGCUAGUGGGUGGGGUAACGGCGCACCAAGGCGACGAUCCCUAGCGGGUCUGAGAGGGUGACCAGCCACACGGGAACUGAGACACGGUCCAGACUCCUACGGGAGGCAGCAGUGGGGAAGAUUGAGCAAUGGGCGCAAGCCUGAUCGAGCCAUGCCGCGUGUAUGAAGAAGGCCUUCGGGUUGUAAAGUACUUUCAGCGGGGAGGCGUUAGCCGAAGAAGAAGCACCGGCUAACUCCGUGCCAGCCGCCGCGGUAAUAG
rnacentral:rRNA from 1 species